UGGGGAAUAUUGGACAAUGGGCGAAAGCCUGAUCCAGCAAUGCCGCGUGAGUGAAGAAGGCCUUCGGGUUGUAAAGCUCUUUUACCCGGGAAGAUAAUGACUGUACCGGGAGAAUAAGCCCCGGCUAACUCCGUGCCAGCAGCCGCGGUAAUACGGAGGGGGCUAGCGUUGUUCGGAAUUACUGGGCGUAAAGCGCACGUAGGCGGCUUUGUAAGUUAGAGGUGAAAGCCCAGGGCUUAACCCUGGAACUGCCUUUAAGACUGCAAGGCUUGAAUCGCGGAGAGGUGAGUGGAAUUCCGAGUGUAGAGGUGAAAUUCGUAGAUAUUCGGAAGAACACCAGUGGCGAAGGCGGCUCACUGGACGCGUAUUGACGCUGAGGUGCGAAAGCGUGGGGAGCAAACA
rnacentral:rRNA from 1 species